CAGGGCCUGAGUCAUGGUGACCAAAGAGGCCAGUUUCUCAUCUCGCAUCUCCUCCAAUUGACCCAACAGACCGGCUUUAAAGAACACCUGGUAACAGAUGUAGUAGAUAUUAGUUGGUGUAAUAUGCAGUGCUGGUCAAACCUGGUGUCUUUGAUUCGUUUGGAAUCAGGCAGCGCACAAAGUGAGGGUGAGUGCUCCUCAGGUUGGUCAUCAGCUUGCCCAGAUUCUCCUGUAGGAUGACAGGAUGUGUCAUUGACAUAAGAUGGAGGCAUAUAUAGAUAUUGCAGACAGUAACUGAUUACAAUAUGUACUUUACCCUGAACAGAGCAGACACAGUCUGGAAGGAGCCACCCUUCUUCUUGCCUCCUUUCUUGCCACCACCACCCUCUGUUUACAUAUAAAAGGUUUUUCAUCAUGAUCUAAUUUAUUGAUACAUAUAUCAUUAUGAUUAUCAGUCUUCCUGAUCCUGUUAUCCAAAUCCUUUCUACAGUAUAUAUACAAGUUUAAAAUUGUAAAUACCGUCUCCUGCACCAUGAGCUGCAUACAAAAAGGCCAGUAAUUUCAGCGCAGACUUCUGGUAGAGUUGCACAACAGAUUCAUUCAGAGGAUCCUUGUUCUUGUCCAGCCAGCCGGCGAUGUUGUAAUCCACAGUGCCAGCAUAGUGCACCAGGGAGAAGUGG